UUAAGUGACUAAGCGUACACGGUGGAUGCCUUGGCAGUUGGAGGCGAUGAAGGACGUACUAACUUGCGAUAAGCCUAGUUGAGCCAGUAAGAGGCGCAUGAGACUAGGAUUUCCGAAUGGGGAAACCCAGUGAGUUUACUCACUAUCCUUAACUGAAUACAUAGGUUAAGGAGGCGAACGAGGGGAACUGAAACAUCUAAGUACCCUUAGGAAAAGAAAUCAAAUGAGAUUCCGUUAGUAGCGGCGAGCGAACGCGGAUUAGCCCUUAAGCUUGAUAAGAUGCAGUGGAACACUCUGGAAAGUGUGGCGAUAGAGGGUGAUAGCCCCGUACACGAAGUGUGUUAUCAAGUGAAAACGAGUAGGUCGGGACACGUGUUAUCUUGACUGAAUAUGGGGGGACCAUCCUCCAAGGCUAAAUACUCCCAACUGACCGAUAGUGAACCAGUACCGUGAGGGAAAGGCGAAAAGAACCCCUGUGAGGGGAGUGAAAUAGAACCUGAAACCGUGUACGUACAAGCAGUAGGAGCGGGCUCGUCCCGUGACUGCGUACCUUUUGUAUAAUGGGUCAGCGACUUACAUUUUGUAGCAAGGUUAACCGAAUAGGGUAGCCGUAGGGAAACCGAGUCUUAACUGGGCGUGUAGUUGCAAGGUGUAGACCCGAAACCGGGCGAUCUAGCCAUGGGCAGGUUGAAGGUUGAGUAACAUCAACUGGAGGACCGAACUCACUAAUGUUGAAAAAUUAGGAGAUGACCUGUGGCUCGGAGUGAAAGGCUAAUCAAGCCCGGAGAUAGCUGGUUCUCCCCGAAAUCUAUUUAGGUAGAGCCUCGGACGAAUACCAUUGGGGGUAGAGCACUGUUUCGGCUAGGGGGUCAUCCCGACUUACCAACCCGAUGCAAACUCCGAAUACCAAUGAGUACUAUCCGGGAGACACACGGCGGGUGCUAACGUCCGUCGUGAAGAGGGAAACAACCCAGACCGCCAGCUAAGGUCCCGAAGUCAUGGUUCAGUGGGAAACGAUGUGGGAAGGCAUAGACAGCUAGGAGGUUGGCUUAGAAGCAGCCACCCUUUAAAGAAAGCGUAAUAGCUCACUAGUCGAGUCGGCCUGCGCGGAAGAUGUAACGGGGCUAAACCAUGCACCGAAGCUGCGGCUGCGAAUGCAUUUAUGUGUUUGCGGGGUAGGGGAGCGUUCUGUAAGCCGUUGAAGGUGGAUUGAGAAGUCUGCUGGAGGUAUCAGAAGUGCGAAUGCUGACAUGAGUAACGAUAAUGGGAGUGAAAAACUCCCACGCCGGAAGACCAAGGGUUCCUAUCCCAUGCUAAUCAGGGUAGGGUGAGUCGGCCCCUAAGGCGAGGCAGAAAUGCGUAGUCGAUGGGAAACAGGUUAAUAUUCCUGUACUUUUUUAUACUGCGAUGGGGUGACGGAGAAGGCUAGGCAAGCGCGGCGUUGGUAGUCCGCGUGAAAGUGAGUAGGUUGAGAAUUUAGGCAAAUCCGGAUUCUUAAGACUGAGACACGAGACGAGCUCCUAAGGGAGCGAAGUUGUUGAUGCCCUGCUUCCAGGAAAAUCCUCUAAGCUUCAGGUAUAAAAGAACCGUACCCGAAACCGACACAGGUGGUCAGGUAGAGAAUACUAAGGCGCUUGAGAGAACUCGGGUGAAGGAACUAGGCAAAAUAGUACCGUAACUUCGGGAGAAGGUACGCCCUUAUUUGUGAAGGCCUCGCGCUGUAAGCAGAUGAGGGUCGCAGUGACCAGGUGGCUGGGACUGUUUAUUAAAAACACAGCACUCUGCAAACUCGAAAGAGGACGUAUAGGGUGUGACACCUGCCCGGUGCCGGAAGGUUAAUUGAUGGGGUUAUCUUCGGAGAAGCUCUUGAUCGAAGCCCCGGUAAACGGCGGCCGUAACUAUAACGGUCCUAAGGUAGCGAAAUUCCUUGUCGGGUAAGUUCCGACCUGCACGAAUGGUGUAACCAUGGCCACGCUGUCUCCACCCGAGACUCAGUGAAAUUGAAAUCGCUGUGAAGAUGCAGUGUACCCGCGGCUAGACGGAAAGACCCCGUGAACCUUUACUACAGCUUGGCACUGAACAUUGAACCUACAUGUGUAGGAUAGGUGGGAGGCUUUGAAGCGUGAACGCUAGUUUGCGUGGAGCCGCCCUUGAAAUACCACCCUUGUAUGUUUGAUGUUCUAACGUCGGUCCCUUAUCGGGAUUGCGGACAGUGUCUGGUGGGUAGUUUGACUGGGGCGGUCUCCUCCCAAAGAGUAACGGAGGAGCACGAAGGUUGGCUAAGUACGGUCGGACAUCGUACGGUUAGUGCAAAGGCAUAAGCCAGCUUAACUGCGAGACAGACACGUCGAGCAGGUGCGAAAGCAGGUCUUAGUGAUCCGGUGGUUCUGAAUGGAAGGGCCAUCGCUCAACGGAUAAAAGGUACUCCGGGGAUAACAGGCUGAUACCGCCCAAGAGUUCAUAUCGACGGCGGUGUUUGGCACCUCGAUGUCGGCUCAUCACAUCCUGGGGCUGAAGUCGGUCCCAAGGGUAUGGCUGUUCGCCAUUUAAAGUGGUACGCGAGCUGGGUUUAGAACGUCGUGAGACAGUUCGGUCCCUAUCUGCCGUGGGCGUUUGAGAAUUGAAAGGGGUUGCUCCUAGUACGAGAGGACCGGAGUGAACGAACCGCUGGUGUUCGGGUUGUCAUGCCAAUGGCACUGCCCGGUAGCUACGUUCGGAAUCGAUAACCGCUGAAAGCAUCUAAGCGGGAAGCGAGCCUUGAGAUGAGUUCUCACUAGCAUGUAAUUGCUCUAAAGGGUUGUUGAAGACUACAACGUUGAUAGGCAGGGUGUGGAAGCGCUGUAAGGCGUUGAGCUAACCUGUACUAAUUGCCCGUGAGGCUUAACCAU
rnacentral:rRNA from 1 species